rnacentral:lncRNA from 13 species
CAGGGAUGUUGCAAUGUCUGCGUCGCCCAGGCUGGUCUCGAAUACCUGGCCUCAAGCAGUCCUCCUGUCUUGGCAUCCUAAAGUGUUGGGAUUAGAGAUGUGAACCAUCACAACUGGCCCAGGCUCAUUCUAACAACCAGCUGUCUUGUGAACUAAUGGGAGGACAUUAAUUUAUUCACGAGGGAUGCACCCCCAGGACUGAAACACCUCCCACUGGAACCCAUCUCCCAACCUUGCCCCAUUGGGGUCUCGACUUCAACACGAAGUUUGAAGGGGACCUUUUUCUAAUCUGCUACUCUAAAGCCACAGCAGCUGUGGGGACAAGAGUGACUAUUUUAGAUGCUAAUCCACCAUGUGACUCCUGACUAAUCUCGAGUCUGGGAAUGCCUCCAAGAUGUCUAGUUGAUGUAUUGUUCUUUAUGUAGAAACUUCUACUUACUGUAAGUUUUGCCUUUCCUCCAAAUCAACCCUUGAUAUUGUUGCAUCCAUCAUGGGCCGUGACACCCACAGCAUUCUUUCAGCUGUCUACACAUUCCUUCCAGAGCACAUGGAUUUUCCUCCCAAGAUACAAGCUCCGGGUCUCGGGGGUUGCGUAUGAAGACCUGUUUGUCUCAUGGUGGUGCAGACUACACUUCUGUCUACGGAGUUUCACUCUUGCUGCCCAGGCUGGAGUGCAACGGCAUGAUUUCAGCUCGCUGCAACCUCUGCCUUCCAGAUCCAAGCAAUUCUUCUGCCUCAGCCUCCCGAGUCGCUGGGAUUACAGGCAUGAGCCACCAUGCCCAGCUACUUUUUUUGUAUUUUUUGUAGAGACUGGUUUCACCAUAUUGGCCAGGCUGGUCUCGAACUCCUGAUCUCAGGUGAUCCACCCACCUCCCAAAGUGCUGGGAUUACAGGUGUGAACCACCGGUCACCAAUUUCAGGGGCUGGAAAAUUAAGCACAGGAUUAUCACCCCUCUCGGUGCCUGGAGUGCCCUCUAAUGGCUACUUCAAUAACUGCCUGGAACAUCUUAAGAGUUUCGCUGUUGUUACCCAGACUGGAGUGCAAUGGCACGAUCUCGGCUCACCGCAACCUCCGCCUCCUGGGUUUAAGCAAUUCUCCUGCCUCAGCCUCCUGAGUAGCUGGGACUACAGGCGUGCGCCACCAUGCCCAGCUAAUUUUUGUAUUUUUAGUAGAGACGGGGUGCGCCACCAUGCCCAGCUAAUUUUUGCAUUUUAGUAGAGACCAGGAUGGUCUCGAUCUCUCGACCCCACGAUCCACCCGCCUCGGCCUCCCAAAGUGCUGGGAUCACAGGAGUGAGCCACCGCGCCCCUCCUCAAUCUCUUUUUAUAAGUUAAUUCAUCUUUGCUGUUUCUUGUGUUAGUUUUGGUAAUUUGUGUAUCUCUGGGAAUUUGUCCAUUUCAUCUAAGUUACCUAAUCUGUUAGCACUUAAAUGUUUAUAGUAUUCCUUCACAGUCCUUUUUGUUGGUAGUAAUGUUCCCAUUCAUUCCAUUCCUUCAUUUCUAAUUCUAGCAUGUGAGAAGCAUAUGUGUUCUACCGUUGCCAGGCAGAAUAUUCUAAAUGUGUCUGUUAGGUCUAGUUGGUUCAUAAUGAUGCUCAAGCCUUCUAUUUUCUUCUUGCUCUUCUGUCUAAUUGUUCUACCUAUUAAAAGUGGGGUACUGAAGUCUCCAACUAUUAUUAACAGUUUUAUAUUUAUCCCUUCUAUUCAUGUAUUUUGGGACUCUGUUGCUAGGUACAUGUGUUAUUUAUAAUUGUUGUUCUUCUUGAUGAAUUAACCCUUUUGUCAAUGCAGAUGAUCCUCAACUUAGACAAAAGGAUUACAUACAUCCUGAUAAGUUUACUGUAAGUUGACAAUUUGAUAAGUUGGAAAUGCAUUUAAUACACUGAACCUAGUAAAUAAACAUCGUAGUUUAGCUUAGCCUAUCUUUAAA